GGUUAGUAACGCGUGGGAAUAUACCCGGUACUAAGGAAUAGCCUUUGGAAACGAAGAGUAAUACCUUAUACGCCUUUCGGGGGAAAGAUUUAUCGGUGAAGGAUUAGCCCGCGUAAGAUUAGAUAGUUGGUGGGGUAAUGGCCUACCAAGUCUACGAUCUUUAGCUGGUUUUAGAGGAUGAUCAGCAACACUGGGACUGAGACACGGCCCAGACUCCUACGGGAGGCAGCAGUGGGGAAUCUUAGACAAUGGGCGCAAGCCUGAUCUAGCCAUGCCGCGUGAGUGAAGAAGGCCUUAGGGUCGUAAAGCACUUUCGCCAGAGAUGAUAAUGACAGUAUCUGGUAAAGAAACCCCGGCUAACUCCGUGCCAGCAGCCGCGGUAAUACGGAGGGGGUUAGCGUUGUUCGGAAUUACUGGGCGUAAAGCGCACGUAGGCGGACUGGAAAGUUGGGGGUGAAAUCCCGGGGCUCAACCUCGGAACUGCCUCCAAAACUAUCAGUCUAGAGUUCGAGAGAGGUGAGUGGAAUUCCAAGUGUAGAGGUGAAAUUCGUAGAUAUUUGGAGGAACACCAGUGGCGAAGGCGGCUCACUGGCUCGAUACUGACGCUGAGGUGCGAAAGUGUGGGGAGCAAACAGGAUUAGAUACCCUGGUAGUCCACACCGUAAACGAUGAAUGCCAGUCGUCGGCAAGUAUACUUGUCGGUGACACACCUAACGGAUUAAGCAUUCCGCCUGGGGAGUACGGUCGCAAGAUUAAAACUCAAAGGAAUUGACGGGGGCCCGCACAAGCGGUGGAGCAUGUGGUUUAAUUCG
rnacentral:rRNA from 1 species